AAAAAACACACAAGGAAUUUGUCUCCGGUAGUUAGAGCCGCUCAUGCAACAUCCGGCUGUGUGACUGGAAGCUUUUGCUGACGAGCGCCACUCAAGCCGCAACUCAAGCUCAGAUAGAUUGGUUGGAGAGCGUCUGUGAACAAAGGUUUUCAAGAAUGGACACAGAUGCUCGAUGGGAUUUAGGUCUGGACGUUGACUGGGCCAUUCAAGUGAAUAUUUUUUGGUCUAAACCAGUGGUUCUUAACCUUGUUGGAGGUACGGAACCCCGCAAGUUUCUUGCUAAAAUCAUUUAAGUACAUUUUGUCCAUAUUAAUGUACACACAGCAACCCAUAUUGACAGAAAAAAAACUGUAUUGUUGAUUUUUUUGCAGAUUUAUUAAAAAAGAAAAAGUGAAAUAUCA